CAAUUCACAAUUGGUUUUAUUUUUAUUGUUUGAAAAAUGCAGGCAAGGCAUUGAAUAUUUAUAUAUAUUUAUUUAAAACAAACAUAAUUAUUAUGUUAAAAUUAUUGCUAAUAAACCGGGUAAUUAACAAAUAUGGAAGACCAAAAAGAAUAUAAGUUUAUUGGAUACUUCCCAGAAGAGAACCAGGAUAACCAAUUAGACGAGCAAGAACCACCAAUAAGUUGGUUAGCAUGCAUAGAUCAUGCAGAGCUACAGAACAUGAAACGAAGCAUUCCAAACCAAUCAGUUCAAGAGCUGCAACUAGGUGCACCUUUGAAAACUGCUGUUGAUAAUCCUGCAGAAAUUUCCCAAUAUAUUCAUAUUGGCUCCUCAGGAGAAAUAUGAAGUUAUUUUUUACAAAAGUAAUUGCAUGUUUUUUUUUUCUACUAAAGGAGUAAAAUUUACAGUAUUUUAUUAACAGUAGUUUGUUGCUUAAAUUCACUGUAAAUUCUUAUAAAUAAAUUAAAGAAGACAGAAGAAUCAAGAAAGAAGAUGAAGAAAAGAAGAAGAUUCCACAGACAGUGUCCAAUCCAAAAAGUUAUUCAAUAACAAGAUAAGAGUUAAUCAAGAGUUUCCUGAAUAUGUGGGAUAUUACAGACCAUAUUGUACAUGCUUUAUCCCUUCCCCUGAGAGUGUCAACACAGAACAUGCUUCAAACAGAAGAAUGAAAAAAUAUGAAGAGAAUCAUAGAACCAGACUUAAAAGGAGCAGCAGAAAUGAAUACAGUCCAGACACACGGCCAGAUAGAUCACCUGAACGCAUUCGAACCAAUAAAAGACGAAGGUCCUACACUCCAGAAGAUACCCGUGCAUCACGUCUCCCGAAGGUGUAAAUAUUAAUGUUUUUUGUUCUUAUUGUGUUUUAUCAAAAUGAUUGUUUUAAAAAGAAACUAUAUAUACUGUAUUCUUGUAUGCAUGUUUAUUAUACUUAUUUUAAUUGUUUUACAUUAUAAAGUGAAAUAAAUGUAUUUAAUAGA
rnacentral:misc_RNA from 1 species